GAUCAUCUUUCUCGGGAGUGCUAGCUCAUGAUGAAGGAUCUGAAUGGUUGAUGGAGACUUUUUUUUUCAGAUCAAAUGGACACCUCCAAAUCAAAAGGAAGAGCUUUUCAAGGAGGAGAUAGAAUGGAAGAAGAAGAACCAAACACUUUUUUGUUUUUCUUUCUCACAAAACUGAAACUAGAAAAUCCUAGAACCCCCACCC
rnacentral:lncRNA from 1 species